ACAUACCACCGGCAUCUUAACACCCAAGGUGAUUGGCUAGUUUUGCCGUCGGAGAUUAUAUAUACUAGGGAUGUCACGUUGUAGCAACACAUAAUCUAGAGACGCUGCAAGUUACUAGAAAGUCUGCCAUUAUCAUGUUGAGUUCAAAAUCCUUCAUUUUGUUCACUGAACUGUGUUUUCUUGCUGUAACCUACGGCUGCUUUACCUUCAACGACGGGUGUAGAGAUUACCACUGCUGUCAGGGAGACACGUGGCCUACACUUUUCGUGGGAAAGUGUUGCGAGAAAUGUACAUGGAAUCAGAACACGUAUUCUCCAGGACAGUGGUUUUACCCGGCUGGCGAGCCUAAUCGUCUUUGUAUCUGCGUGACAUGCGGAAGAGUGUACUGUUCACCGUCACGGUACCAUCUUUGCAGUUCGUCACGAUAUUCCAAGAACAAGUUGUGGUUCACGGGUUCAUCGGUCGGUCCACUGUGUCGCUGUCGAUCUGACAAUACUGUUGCUUGUGGUGCUGCUGCAUGUUCCUGGCUAUCCAAACUUGAGCCAAUAGAAGAUGGACGGCAGGUCGCACAGUCCCCGAAUGCUGCACCGUAGGAGUCACAGGGAGAAACUGAAGAAACGGACACGGGGGAAUCUGUGUUCUGGCACUGUGCUAACUUGACCGCAUUUUAAAAUUAUUUAGAGGGCAAUAGUACGAAUACACUGGACCUAUGAUAUAAUAUAUUGAACUAUGCAUUGCUGUAAAUACACCAUGUAUUUUGACCGAUUCCUUUGACUGGUGUUGAUAGAAUAAUCUGCUUUUUUCAAUUUUCAUGUUCAGAGCUAUCAUUAGAAUACUUUAAAUGUUAGAGAUAAAAUUUACAGCUUACUCACGGCCAAUAAAUGUGUGGAUUGAGGAAUCAAGUUUUAUGACCAUCGUUUUUUCCAAACACGUUGUUACGUUGAUGUAUUCUAUAAAAAAUAAAACUGCGCUCAGUCAAAUAAUAUGACUAAGCUUAA